rnacentral:rRNA from 1 species
AGUGGCAGACGGGUGAGUAAUGUAUAGGAAUCUACCUAGUAGUACGGAAUAAUUGUUGGAAACGGCAACUAAUACCGUAUACGCCCUACGGGGGAAAAAUUUAUUGCUAUUGGAUGAGCCUAUAUUAGAUUAGUUAGUUGGUGAGGUAAAGGCUUACCAAGACAAUGAUCUAUAGCUGAUCUGAGAGGAUGAUCAGCCACACUGGAACUGAGAUACGGUCCAGACUCCUACGGGAGGCAGCAGUGGGGAAUAUUGGACAAUGGGCGAAAGCCUGAUCCAGCCAUGCCGCAUGAGUGAAGAAGGCCUUCGGGUUGUAAAGCUCUUUUAGUGAGGAAGAUAAUGACGGUACUCACAGAAGAAGUCCUGGCUAACUCCGUGCCAGCAGCCGCGGUAAUACGGAGAGGGCUAGCGUUAUUCGGAAUCAUUGGGCGUAAAGGGCGCGUAGGCGGGUUAGUAAGUUAAAAGUGAAAUCCCAAGGCUCAACCUUGGAACUGCUUUUAAAACUGCUAGUCUAGAGAUUGAAAGAGGAUAGAGGAAUUCCUAGUGUAGAGAUGAAAUUCGUAAAUAUUAGGAGGAACACCAGUGGCGAAGGCGUCUAUCUGGUUCAAAUCUGACGCUGAGGCGCGAAGGCGUGGGGAGCAAACAGGAUUAGAUACCCUGGUAGUCCACGCUGUAAACGAUGAAUGUUAAAUAUGGGAAGUUUACUUUCUGUAUUAUAGCUAACGCGUUAAACAUUCCGCCUGGGGACUACNGUCGCAAGAUUAAAACUCAAAGGAAUUGACGGGGNNCCGCAC